UACGGAGGGUGCAAGCGUUGUCCGGAAUCACUGGGCGUAAAGGGCGCGUAGGCGGCGCGGGAAGUCCGUGGUGAAAGCCCGAGGCUCAACUUCGGGUCGGCCAUGGAUACUCCUGGGCUCGAGCACUGUAGAGGCAGGUGGAAUUCCGGGUGUAGCGGUGGAAUGCGUAGAGAUCCGGAAGAACACCGGUGGCGAAGGCGGCCUGCUGGGCAGUGACCGUAAGGUCUUAAAAGCUGACGCUGAGGCGCGACAGCGUGGGGAGCAAACAGG
rnacentral:rRNA from 1 species